CUGGAGUUAAGAGUGAAGAGGGAAACCAAAGGGCAGUUUCUCAUUGACCACAUCUGCAACUACUACAGCCUGCUGGAGAAGGACUACUUUGGCAUUCGCUAUGUGGACCCAGAGAAGCAAAGGCACUGGCUUGAACCUAACAAGUCCAUCUUCAAGCAAAUGAAAACUCAUCCACCAUACACCAUGUGCUUUAGAGUGAAAUUCUACCCACAUGAACCCUUGAAGA
rnacentral:lncRNA from 1 species